rnacentral:rRNA from 1 species
CCUACGGGAGGCUGCAGUGGGGAAUAUUGCGCAAUGGGCGAAAGCCUGACGCAGCGACGCCGCGUGAGGGAUGAAGGUCUUCGGAUCGUAAACCUCUGUCAGCAGGGAAGAAAGGUCGCUGUGCUAAUCAGCAGUGACUUGACGGUACCUGACAAGGAAGCACCGGCUAACUCCGUGCCAGCAGCCGCGGUAAUACGGAGGGGGCGAGCGUUGAUCGGAAUUACUGGGCGUAAAGCGCUCGUAGGCGGUCUGUCAAGUCAAGGGUGAAAUCCCCGCGCUCAACGUGGGAACUGCAUUUGAAACUGGCAAACUGGAGUGGGUGAGAGGAUAGUGGAAUUCCAGGUGUAGGAGUGAAAUGCGUAGAUAUAUGGAGGAACAUCAGUGGCGAAGGCGACUAUCUGGCACAUAACUGACGCUGAGGCGCGAAAGCGUGGGUAGCAAACAGGAUUAGAUACCCGUGUAGUC